AACGAACGUUAGCGGCGCGCUUAAUACAUGCAAGUCGUGCGAGAAAGGGCUUCGGCCCGUACAGCGGCGCACGGGUGAGUAACACGUAGGUCAUCUCCCCUCGAGUGGUGGAUAACCCUCCGAAAGGAGGGCUAAUACAGCAUGAGACCACGGCUUCGUUGAAGCUGUGGCCAAAGUAGGCCUCUCCACGGAAGCUUACGCUUGAGGAUGAGCCUGCGGCCCAUCAGCUAGUUGGUAGGGUAAUGGCCUACCAAGGCUAAGACGGGUAGCUGGUCUGAGAGGAUGAACAGCCACACUGGAACUGAGACACGGUCCAGACUCCUACGGGAGGCUG
rnacentral:rRNA from 1 species